UACGUAGGGUGCAAGCGUUAAUCGGAAUUACUGGGCGUAAAGCGUGCGCAGGCGGCUAUGCAAGACAGAUGUGAAAUCCCCGGGCUCAACCUGGGAACUGCAUUUGUGACUGCAUGGCUAGAGUACGGUAGAGGGGGAUGGAAUUCCGCGUGUAGCAGUGAAAUGCGUAGAUAUGCGGAGGAACACCGAUGGCGAAGGCAAUCCCCUGGACCUGUACUGACGCUCAUGCACGAAAGGCGUGGGGAGCAAACAGG
rnacentral:rRNA from 1 species